CUACGGGAGGCAGCAGUGGGGAAUAUUGGACAAUGGGGGAAACCCUGAUCCAGCAAUGCCGCGUGUGUGAAGAAGGCCUGCGGGUUGUAAAGCACUUUCGGUUGGGAGGACUGCUUCUAGCACUAAUAUUGUUGGAAGUUGACGUUACCUUCAGAAGAAGCACCGGCUAACUCCGUGCCAGCAGCCGCGGUAAUACGGAGGGUGCAAGCGUUAAUCGGAAUUACUGGGCGUAAAGCGCGCGUAGGCGGCUAGAUCAGUCGGGUGUGAAAGCCCCGGGCUUAACCUGGGAACUGCAUCCGAUACUGUCUAGCUUGAGUACAGGAGAGGGGAGUGGAAUUCCACAUGUGGCGGUGAAAUGCGUAGAUAUGUGGAGGAACACCAAUGGCGAAGGCAGCUCUCUGGCCUGAUACUGACGCUGAGGUGCGAAGGCGUGGGGAGCAAACAGGAUUAGAUACCCUCGUAGUC
rnacentral:rRNA from 1 species